rnacentral:rRNA from 1 species
CAGUCGCCGCGGUAAUACGUAGGUGGCAAGCGUUGUCCGGAAUUAUUGGGCGUAAAGGGUGCGUAGGCGGUUCAGCAAGUCUCGUGUGAAAUCUUCGGGCUCAUCCCGAAGUCUGCACGGGAAACUACUGGGCUUGAGUAUUGGAGAGGUGAGUGGAAUUUCCGGUGUAGCGGUGAAAUGCGUAGAUAUCGGAAGGAACACCUGUGGCGGAAGCGGCUCACUGGACAAUAACUGACGCUGAGGAGCGAAAGCGUGGGGAGCGAACAGGAUUAGAUACCCGCGUAGUCCCUGUCUCUUAUAC